rnacentral:rRNA from 1 species
AUACGGAGGGUGCAAGCGUUAAUCGGAAUUACUGGGCGUAAAGCGCGCGUAGGCGGAUAUUUAAGUCUCAUGUGAAAGCCCUGGGCUCAACCUGGGAACUGCAUGGGAUACUGGGUAUCUAGAAUACAGUCGAGGGUAGUGGAAUUUCAGGUGUAGCGGUGAAAUGCGUAGAGAUCUGAAGGAACAUCAGUGGCGAAGGCGACUACCUGGACUGAUAUUGACGCUGAGGUGCGAAAGCGUGGGGAGCAAACGGGAUUAGAGACCCUAGUAGUCC